AAUAAAAUAAAAUAAAGAAAAGAAAAAGUAAACUUAUUAGAGACCAGAUGUCCUGUCCUGAUUCCUGGCCCACCACACUGCCUUCCCUGAAGCUGUGAGGCCAGCUGGAGCCAAGCUUGUAAUCGGCUCCUCCCUAGAAGCCCACAGUCCUGGCAAAAUGGACCUGUGUUCUCAGCUCACCAACACAAGGAGACAUUGUCCCCAAAAUCAGGCAGAAAGGUCUUUGCCAGGCAACAUAUCCUUUGUGCCUACGUUUGCACAAAGCUUACCUGUAGCCAAGAGAGAACUAUUUCCAUUCACUCUUCCCUUUCCAUCUCCUUCAUCCUAAUCAAAGUAGGACAUUUAAGCCAGGAGACUGUGUGAAGGUUUUGGGAAGUCCUCAACUCCUGGAUAAGGCAAGUUCCAAGGAAGUGAUACUCAUGUGAUCUAAAUACGAUCUAAACACCUCAUUGAACAUAGCCAGAUCUUCCAUUUAUAGGAGACUUGGUAGAUGAGUGCCACAGGGUAACUGAACCCAGGUUUGGCUGCUCACCACUUAAAAGCCAGACUCAAGAGAUUAGGGAUGAUGGGAGGAAAAGGUGGUUUAUUUGGAAAGCCAGUAACACCAUGAAGAUGGUGACUAGUGUUCUAAAGUGCAAUCUUAAAUUUUUCAGGCUAACUGGAGGAUUUUAAUGGGUGUGGGAUAUGGGGAAGAGGAGAGAGUUGGGGAGAGAGUUGAGAUCAAAAGAUGACCAGAGACUGCAGACAUCUGGGUGCCAACAAGAGUCCAAAGAGGUUGGGAACUACUCUGUCCUUGGUCAGGUUACAAUGGUCAUAUAAAUCUUUAACAAAACAUAGUUGUUUACUUCUUUAAUCCCAGAGUUAGUUUUUAAAACUACAUGAUUGCUGGGUUUGCAUAUUUAUAUCAGUGCUCUAAAAUUAUCCUAUGUGCAGGAAUGGGUAAAGGCCACUUUAAACAAAAAUGAAGUAAGUUACAUUCGUUUUUUUUGCUGUUCCACUGUAACAACAGGAAAUACUGUUAAAGUCCAUUUGGGCCAGGUGGGGUGGCCGUAAUUCCAGCUACUCAGGAGGCUGAGGCAGGAGGAUCACUUGAGGCUAGGAGUCUGAGACUAACCUGGGCAACACAGCGAGACUCCAUCUCUAAAAAUAUAUAUAGAGAGAGAGACAUAGUCUCGUUGUGUUGCCCAGGCUGGAGUGCAAUGGCAUGAUCUCAGCUCAUUGCAUCCUCCACCUUCCAAGUUAAAACAAUUCUUAUGCCUUAGCCACCCCAGUAGCCGGGACUACGGGCGUCUGCCACCAUACCAGGCUAAUUUUUGUAUUUUUAAAGGAGAAAAGGUUUCACCAUAUUGUUCAGGUUGGUCUUGAACUCCUGGACUUAAGUGAUCCACCUGCCUGGGCUCCCAAAGUGCUGAGAUUAUAGGCAUGAGCCACCAUGCCCAGCCAAAAUAUUAAAAAAUUAGAAAAAUGAUUAUUUUUAAUUUUAAAGACCAUUUAGAAUAAUUGCCUUAUUCCAGAACAAAGAUGAGCUCAUGACCGACCAGGAGUCUCAGUGACUGAGGGACAGAGGCUCCCCAGGGGGCGGACAGAGACUCACAUAUCUAUGGCAUGGCCCUGUCCACUAGGGCUGUUUUGUCCACUGGGGCUGCCUUGAGAAUAAGGAAUGCUACUCGGGAGGUCGAGGCAGGAGGAUUGCUUGAGCUCGGGAGGUCGAGGCUGCAGUAAGUCCAGAUCGCGCCACUGCACUCAGCCUGGGCGACAGAGUGAGACCCCGUCUCCAUUAAUUAAUAACAAUAAAUUU
rnacentral:lncRNA from 1 species